rnacentral:sRNA from 1 species
AGUAGCAAAUUUCAGAGUCUCGUAGC